UCCCGUCACUCAAAUCGUACGCUAUUUUUACAUAUCUCUCCGCGGUUUAUUGCGUCGUCGUCUGCCACUUACUUCAGCCGCUUUUGAAUCGGUGCGAUUUGUUUUCUGGAAUUUGUACCAUGUUCGGUGAUAAGGAAGCCAGUAGUUUGGUUAUGAACUAUGUAAUACUCAUAUUACUCUUACUGAUUCUUUGGGUAUUGUAUCUUGGGAUGUAGAAGAAAAUGCGGUGAUUAAAUUAAUGUAACACUAAAGAGAUGGGGAACACAUGCAUCUUCGGUGGACAACUUCAUUCACUCAGAAUUCAUGUAAUAUUAAAGUUUUACUUCCUCUUCAACAGAAUUCCUACUGUUAUACCAUCAUGUUCUUCGACCGAAAAUUGAGAAGUUUGGUUCAAGAACAAGUCAUUGUCUUCUGCCUUCUUAAAAAUGUAUAGAGAAUACUAAAAAUAUGUCAUUUGCGUUAAAUUCACAGUAAUUUUCUUAAACAAUAUUUAAACUUUUAUGUAAUAAAAUACUGUUUAAAAUCA